UGGCGGAGAUCGUGGGCGUGGUGGCCGGAGGUGGGGGAUGACAGCGGGCCCCACCUGUCAGAGAGAGAUAGAAAGCGAAUUUCUCUAAGAAUACGUUUUCCUACGGAGAAAGCGUAUUUCUGGAGGAAAAAGAAAAAGAAUAAAAGAAAACGAUUAAUAAAUACUUUUCAGGAUCUUUAAUUCACCCGAAAUUCCAUUUAAAUCAUUUAAAAUAUCAAAUGGCAUCAGAAAAACUCCAAAAAAUUAUGUAAAAUAAUAUAUUUCAUUUAGAGUCCAGGAAAAUUAUUCCCACUCAAAAAUAAAUUAAUAAAAAUAGUUUUAAGGUUUUUAAGCUUUAAAUAAAUCCAAAUAAAAUCCUAGAAUGCAUUUUUAAAUUCUAGAAAAUUCUCAAAUCAAUUUCAACCUAAAACAUUCCGAAACAACAUUUCAAACACUUUCAAUAGUGCAUCAUAACGAACACCAAUAUUUUAAGAUAUGAUCAAGGUGAUAUGCGUAAGAAAUGAAAAGGUGCGAACAUCUGAAUUUGAAAAAUUUGGGAUGUUACAAACCUACCCCUCUUAAAGUGAAUCUCGACCCCGAGAUUCGGAUUGGCCGGUAGAAAGGUGAGGGUAGUCCUUCUUCAGAUCCUCUUCUCGUUCCC
rnacentral:lncRNA from 1 species